rnacentral:rRNA from 1 species
GACGAACGCUGCGGCGUGCUUAACACCUGCAAGUCGAACGGAAAGGCCCUGCUUUUGUGGGGUGCUCGAGUGGCGAACGGGUGAGUAACACGUGAGUAACCUGCCCUUGACUUUGGGAUAACUUCAGGAAACUGGGGCUAAUACCGGAUAGGAGCUCCUGCUGCAUGGUGGGGGUUGGAAAGUUUCGGCGGUUGGGGAUGGACUCGCGGCUUAUCAGCUUGUUGGUGGGGUAGUGGCUUACCAAGGCUUUGACGGGUAGCCGGCCUGAGAGGGUGACCGGCCACAUUGGGACUGAGAUACGGCCCAGACUCCUACGGGAGGCAGCAGUGGGGAAUAUUGCACAAUGGGCGGAAGCCUGAUGCAGCAACGCCGCGUGCGGGAUGACGGCCUUCGGGUUGUAAACCGCUUUCGCCUGUGACGAAGCGUGAGUGACGGUAAUGGGUAAAGAAGCACCGGCUAACUACGUG